AUGGCUGCAGUUGCCAGCAGAUGCAGAAUAAGGAGUCUCCAGCUCAUAUUCUCUGACACAAACAAUGGUCUGGCAGCUGUGCAUGGACAAAAGUGCCUUUGUGGGAGCUUUGGGAUCCAGAAAAGAGGUCACAAAACUCUGGUGAAGCUGAAGACAGAGGAGAGCCACUCUGAGAAGGAUAAUUGUGAAGAUCAGCCAAGAAGAUGAGCAAAUGGUAUAAACUUGACAAACUGUAAGACAAUUGAAAUACCAUAAAAAACACCAGGCUGGUCUGGUUAGGAGGAGAAAUCUUGCAUUCAGACUGAACAGAAUCCUGGGAUCCCAGGACAAGUAGGUUUUGGCUGCUCCUCUUAUCUACCCUUGUGAUCCGGGCCGGAGAUCAGCAAACUAUGGCCCAAGGGCAAAAUCCUGUCCACACUCAGUUUUUGUAUGAUCUAUGAGCUGGAAAUACGUUUUAGAUUUUAAGUGGUUCAAUGAAAAAAUAAGAGAUUUCAUGACCAUGAAUUUUUUUUUUUUUGAGAUGGAGUUUCGCUCUUGUUACCCAGGCUGGAGUGCAGUGGCGCGAUCUCGGCUCACGGCAACCUCCGCCUCCUGGGUUCAGGCAAUUCUCCUGCCUCAGCCUCCUGAGUAGCAGGGAUUACAGGCACGCACCACCAUGCCCAGCUAAUUUUUGUAUUUUUAGUAGAGGCGGGGUUUCACCAUGUUGACCAGUAUGGUCUCGAUCUCUUGACCUUGUGAUCCACCCGCCUCAGCCUCCCAAAGUGCUGGGAUUAUAGGCGUGAGCCACCGUGCCUGGCCGACCAUGAAAAUUAUAUGCAAUUCAAUUUUCAGUGUACAUAAAUAGUUUUUUGGAACAGAGUAGCACCGAUUUACUUACUUAUCCAUGGACGCUGCAUGCCAUGGCCGCAAAGUUGAGUGGUUGCCAUGAGACCAUAUUGCCUGCAAAGCUUAAACUACUGGCUAUCCUGGCCCUUUACUGAGACAGUUUUCUGACGCUUGAUCUAGGCAACUUCAGUUUUUCACAUCUUGUCUUGGCCUCAUGAGAACUUUAUUCUAGAGAUUUUUUUUUUUUUUUCCCAGUUGAACUUAAGUGGUUAGAAAUACUGCCUUUUCCUAGUAAUUAGGCUUUUAAAAAUGUUUCCAAAACAUUCCAGAACAUUGUAAACAGGUUUACAAUGCGAUGUUUGCUAACACAAAAAUAUAUGUUCUGGUAGGUGCUCAGUGGGAGAGACAGAGGACCUUCUUGGGCAUCAACAUCUGCUCAAAGUUUGACCCCUCUGGGUCUCUGUUUCCUCAUUUAUCAUAAUGAGGAAAACUGGAUGAUUUCUGAGACCCCAUUCUACGUUUCUACAAUGGCUUGUGUUAUUUUAAAGGUUGGUGUUCCCUCGUGGCUAUUAUAUGAGUGCUUUUGCUUCUUUGACGAUCUGCCUGUCUCUGGGACAGUUAACCCAUCACGUUUAAGGCUGGUGAUUAAAAACUUAAAUGCCUGCAGGGACUAGACAGGUGAAAUAAAGGAGAGAACCCCCCUGAGUUAAUAAAGACU
rnacentral:lncRNA from 13 species